GCGUAAUUGAACCUGCUUGGUGUCCCGAAAAGCGCCCUAUGGUGUGGGACCGAAAAGGGAAUUCAGUAAGGGGUCGCUAAGACCCUGAAGCCGAAGCCGCCCCCGCGACUGUAAGCGGUGAGCCAAUGCCCCUCGUGCCACUUGUCCAUUCGGACGGGGAAGGCGGGCAAAGGUCACGACCCGCGAGCCAGGAGACCUGCCAGGCAAGUGAAACGCUA
rnacentral:ncRNA from 2 species